rnacentral:tRNA from 1 species
GAGGUUGUGGCUCAGUGGUAGAGCACUCGCCUAGCAUGUGUGAGGCCCUGGGUUCGAUCCUCAGCACCACA